rnacentral:rRNA from 1 species
GACGAACGCUGGCGGCGUGCCUAAUACAUGCAAGUUGAGCGCUGAAGGUUGGUACUUGUACCAACUGGAUGAGCAGCGAACGGGUGAGUAACGCGUGGGGAAUCUGCCUUUGAGCGGGGGACAACAUUUGGAAACGAAUGCUAAUACCGCAUAAAAACUUUAAACACAAGUUUUAAGUUUGAAAGAUGCAAUUGCAUCACUCAAAGAUGAUCCCGCGUUGUAUUAGCUAGUUGGUGAGGUAAAGGCUCACCAAGGCGAUGAUACAUAGCCGACCUGAGAGGGUGAUCGGCCACAUUGGGACUGAGACACGGCCCAAACUCCUACGGGAGGCAGCAGUAGGGAAUCUUCGGCAAUGGACGAAAGUCUGAACGAGCAACGCCGCGGGAGUGAAGAAGGUUUUCGGAUCGGAAAACUCUGUUGGUAGAGAAGAACGUUGGUGAGAGUGGAAAGCUCAUCAAGUGACGGUAACUACCCAGAAAGGGACGGCUAACUACGUG